rnacentral:snRNA from 1 species
AUACUUACCUGGCAGGGGAGAUACCAUGAUCACGAAGGUAGUUUUCCCAGGGCGAGGCUUAUCCAUUGCACUCCGGAUGUGCUGACCCCUGCAAUUUCCCCAAAUGUGGGAAACUCGACUGCAUAAUUUGUGGUAGUGGGGGACUGCGUUCGCGCUCUCCCCUG